CCCGCCCCUGCAGCUCUGAUUGGGCAGGAGGGAGCUGGUGCAGCACCCGGAGACACCCCUCCGCCUCUGUGCCUAGGGGCUGCCUGCACUGUAGGCUCCUGCCGACAGGCAGGUGCCGGGAGCUGCCCCGGGAAGCGCUGCCAGCCCCGGGAUUUUGGUGCACGCGGGGACUCAUGGUGAGCGGUCCCUGAUAUCGGGACAAAGGGCAUCCUGACCGAUGUGCGGUCAGGACGUGGGACAAAUGUCUUAAAAUCGGGACCGUCCCAUCGGGACUGUCCCGAUAAAAUCGGGACGUCUAGUCACCCUAUUUAGAGACACUACAUCAUUCUGCAGCAAGGUACAUGGCUUUCUGAUUAAUUGGUUUGGAAAACAGCUCUCCCUCUUGCCCAUCACACUGUUAGUCAUUGUACCUUUGUUACAGGACUUUAAAUAAUUGUAUUCCAGUGAGUACGUAUUAAGGCUAUUAAUCUUCCUGCUUUUUUAGAGUCCUGCAAGCAAGUACUGUAUUACUAGGACAGGAAUUUUCUAGAUUUCUAAGCCAUUCAGUUUAGUCACUGUUGGAAGUGUACCACUCAGAUCUAACUCUUCAGGCCUGAUUGCUGCACACUUAUUACUCUGAAAAAACUCCUAUGGGCUCUAAUGGAAUUUGUGCUCGAGCAAGGAAUGCAGUAUUGGGGCCCUAAUUUUCUCAGAGAACAUAAACCUAGCAGAUAAAAACAAAGUUCCACUUUUAGCAACAAAUAUGUGUACGGUUAGAGAGGAAUGGGUAUCCCGUGUGGAGCACAGAGCUUCACAGCGGCAAACUUUUACCUGGAGCCCACCCCACUUAAGUCAGCAAGCAGGGUUCUGUUUGCAUGGAGCUCAGUGCUGGAUCAAGGCCUGUAUCUAUCUAUCUACUUCUUCUGUGGCCUAUGAGAGAUUAACUGAUUUGCUCAAGGAUGGGAACUGAAUACAGAGCUUCUGAAUCCUACACCCAUGGCCUAGCCACUUUCUUUCUCUCCCGUAUUGCUAUGCAGAGCCUCAGUCUACAGUUUCAGCUUCCAUUGACUUCAGUACCACAUAGGCCAGGCCACAGAAUUUCAUUCCCGAGGUGGUCACAUUUCAGUGAUGAGAUUCCUCUACAGAAAGAGCACUGGAGACGUGUGAAGAUUCUGGAUUUUGGUUUCCAUGGGAAUCUGUCCAAUAGUUUUAGACCUUUGGGAUCUAUGAAUGAAAAGUGCUAUAUAAAUGAUUAUUAAUAAUUAUAGAAAUUUAAAAGAAAUGCCCACAGGCGAUAGUCCUUUUCUGCACUAUUAUGGAGAAGAUUAAUUGCAAGAGAUCACAUUAGGAUUAGAGUCUGAGGAAGAAGUUAGUAUAUUAACAGAAGUAUUUUAAAUCUGCCCGUCAAUACCGAUAUCUAUUUGUCUCACAAAAUCACAAUGACCCUGU